rnacentral:lncRNA from 1 species
CAACUGUAUAAUUUUUGAUCCAAUGGUAAAAAAGUUGGAGGCAUAAGAUUCUCUAUACUUCCGAUAGCAUAGUAGCUCCACACUAUAUAAUAUAUACAAUAAGAAGAAAUAUAUAUAAUAAUUUUUUAUUUAUAAUUUUUUUUUCUUUCAACCAAACAACAAUAAAGAAAAACUAAUUUUAUAUUUUCAUUUAUAAAAAUUAUAUAUUUUUAUAUAAUAUUAUAUGCAGACUAUUACAUAUAUUAUAUUAAAUACUUAUAAAUUUAUCAUAUAUUUAAUUCAUAAAUAAUAAAUAAAUAAUAUAUCGAAUACAUAAUAAAAAAAAUUUAUACUUUUUCCUUUCAACCAUUUAACCAAACAACUGUAACUGUAAACUAAUUUUCUUUUCCUACAAACCACACACUAAAAACCGUAAAAUAAAUUUUCCACCAAAAACUUCUUUCCACGGAAAUUUUUUUUUCCCUGUUUUAUGU